rnacentral:rRNA from 1 species
CGAGCGGAUGAAGGGAGCUUGCUCCUGGAUUCAGCGGCGGACGGGUGAGUAAUGCCUAGGAAUCUGCCUGGUAGUGGGGGAUAACGUCCGGAAACGGGCGCUAAUACCGCAUACGUCCUGAGGGAGAAAGUGGGGGAUCUUCGGACCUCACGCUAUCAGAUGAGCCUAGGUCGGAUUAGCUAGUUGGUGGGGUAAAGACCUACCAAGGCGACGAUCCGUAACUGGUCUGAGAGGAUGAUCAGUCACACUGGAACUGAGACACGGUCCAGACUCCUACGGGAGGCAGCAGUGGGGAAUAUUGGACAAUGGGCGAAAGCCUGAUCCAGCCAUGCCGCGUGUGUGAAGAAGGUCUUCGGAUUGUAAAGCACUUUAAGUUGGGAGGAAGGGCAGUAAGUUAAUACCUUGCUGUUUUGACGUUACCAACAGAAUAAGCACCGGCUAACUUCGUGCCAGCAGCCGCGGUAAUACGAGGGGUGCAAGCGUUAAUCGGAAUUACUGGG